UUACCCAAAGGGAUUUUCAAUAUGAAUGAAUCGUUAAAAUAUGAGAAGGAAACAUCUUAAAUUUUUAAGCUGUGUAGGUAAUGAGAAUAUAUUGGGUUUAUUUUUUUCAGCUACAUCUUGAAAAGAUGUUUUGUAUCUUUAAUUUAUUUACGUUAGCUUUAAGAGCCAUUGUCUGAUAUUAUCCAUAUUCAGAAUAUAUUUGCUCAAACCCAGUUUUCUUUUCAAUAGCAAAUUUUUAUGAUUUGUUUAUACAAAAUAAUUCAUAUGUCUUUAUGCAAAAGUAAUUAAUCAAACAAAAAGAGUUAGGAAGUUAACUUUUUAUUAUACAUGUAUAUUAGCACCUGUAUUUAUUUUGUAAACUUUUAUGUUAACCUUUAUUUAUUUGGAUCAGAAAUUAAAACUAAACGAUUUUCUUCUUCGUCUGCCUCAGUGUAAUAAGCGUUUUUAGCCCAUGCACAUAACUAGCUAAAUAAUAUUUUAUAGAGAUAUACUAGUUGGGUAUUUUUAUAAGAACAUUUUCAUUCCAGUAUAAAUUAUAAUAUGUAUAAAUGAUGUUAAAAUGCUUGUUCUUGAUUUUGUAAGGGAACUCUAAAUAAAUAGCAUUUCAGUUGUUAUAAACCAAUUUAUUGUUAUGCAAGUGUUUUUUGUUUUACAAUUUUAUAUUUAUUAUCGUUUUUUUAAAUUUCUAAUAGUGAAAUAUUCAUAAGUGAAUGAUAGAACAGUUAUUACUAUGAUAGAUGUGGGAGAAAAACAAAAAUAAAAUUGUACAUGUAGAGGUAUGAAAUAAAAAAU
rnacentral:lncRNA from 1 species